GGUUUUCUCAAACAACGAUGAAGGCCUUAUUAACAAAAAGUUACCGAAAGAACUUCUGUUAAGAAUGCUGUUCAGCUUGUUGUUAAAUUUUACUUGGUCUAAUCCAGAAUGUACUAAAGUAUGUACAUAGCAUUGGUCUGGAUUCUUUUUGUAAUGUGAAUAUUUUCCUUCUUGGACAUAGUAACUUUGUGCCGAUGUGCACAGAUUUCCAAGGCGUGGAACAUCUUAGCUCU